rnacentral:rRNA from 1 species
AUUGAACGCUGGCGGCAUGCUUUACACAUGCAAGUCGAACGGUAACAGGUCUUCGGAUGCUGACGAGUGGCGAACGGGUGAGUAAUGCAUCGGAACGUGCCCAGUCGUGGGGGAUAACGCAGCGAAAGCUGCGCUAAUACCGCAUACGAUCUAUGGAUGAAAGCGGGGGACCGUAAGGCCUCGCGCGAUUGGAGCGGCCGAUGUCAGAUUAGGUAGUUGGUGGGGGAAAGGCCCACCAAGCCAACGAUCUGUAGCUGGUCUGAGAGGACGACAAGCCACACUGGGAAUGAGACACGGCCCAGACUCCUGCGGGAGGCAGCAGUGGGGAAUUUUGGACAAUGGGCGCAAGCCUGAUCCAGCAAUGCCGCGUGCAGGAAGAAGGCCUUCGGGUUGUAAACUGCUUUUGUACGGAACGAAACGGCUCUCUCUAAUACAGAGGGCUAAUGACGGUACCGUAAGAAUAAGCACCGGCUAACUACGUGCCAGCAGCCGCGGUAAAAC